rnacentral:rRNA from 1 species
UACGUAGGGGGCUAGCGUUGUCCGGAUUUAUUGGGCGUAAAGAGCGUGUAGGCGGCCAGGUAGGUCUGCUGUGAAAACUCGAGGCUUAACCUCGAGAUGUCGGCGGAAACCAUCUGGCUAGAGUCCGGAAGAGGAGAGUGGAAUUUCUGGUGUAGCGGUGAAAUGCGCAGAUAUCAGGAAGAACACCCGUGGCGAAGGCGGCUCUCUGGGACGGUACUGACGCUGAGACGCGAAAGCGUGGGGAGCGAACAGG